GGGUUGUGAGGUUAAGCGACUAAGCGUACACGGUGGAUGCCCUGGCAGUCAGAGGCGAUGAAGGACGUGCUAAUCUGCGAUAAGCGUCGGUAAGGUGAUAUGAACCGUUGUAAC
rnacentral:rRNA from 1 species